GAAAGAAAAGAUUCCAAGCUUGUGUGUGAUCCAAAAAUCUUGGCUUCCACAUAAUUAAGAAGUACUCAAGACGCUCUCCGACGUGGUAUAAUUGGUUUGGCACAAGGAUUCCGUUUGCGACAAGUCGGAAAGUUAGUAAAAGAUUUUUGACGAAACGGGACGGGACUUUUGGAAGAGCUUACGACGUCUGUGAGGUGCAGACAUCGGUGAUCCUCCGCAGUAGGCUUCGCUUCUUGCUUUCCGGAGUACUCUUACUUGGUCCGGGGUCCACUUUUGGUACAGACUCC